UGCAGCUUGUCCAUGUGCGGGGUCGCGGGCGGCAUGCUUAUCACCAGCCUGGGGGCCACAUACUACUUUCUGGAAGCAAUAAUGCGCGGCGGCAAGAGCAGCCGGCGAGUUGUGAUACUGAGGGUUAUCGCAGAGGCACGCGGAGUUCAGUAGAGAUAGCAAUGCGUCCAGAAGUAAGGGAUAUUUCAACUUGUGUGGUGUUCCCAGCACGAAAUUGCAUGCUAAGCCGUCUAAUUUCGGAUUUUCCUGCAAUAAUUUAGUAAUAGAUUUGUUUAUUAAAAAUUAAAAAAAAAUUGUUAUCACAUCUCUCUCAUCUUAGAUAAUAGAAUUAGUACACAUUGUAAACUUUUUAUACUAAUAAAUAAUUACUGUCAAA